AUUGAACGCUGGCGGCAGGCCUAACACCUGCAAGUCGAGCGAGCGGCGGGCUGGUGAGUAAUGUAUGGGGACUGCCCGAUAUAGGGGGAUAACUACUGGAAACGGUAGCUAAUACCGCAUACUAUCGGAUAACCCAUAUGGGAUUAGCUAGUAUGUGAGGUAAUGGCUCACCUCGGCGACGAUCCUUAGCUGGUCUGAGAGGCUGAUCAGCCAAACGGGGACUGAGAAACGGCCCAGACUCCUACGGAGGAAGCAGUGGGGAAUAUCGCACAAUGGGCGCAAGCCUGAUGCAGCCAGGCCGCGUGUAUGAAGAAGGCCCUAGGGUUGUAAAGUACUUUCAGUCGGGAGGCGUUACCGAAAGAAGAAGCACCGGCUAACUCCGUGCCAGCAGCCGCGGUAAUAC
rnacentral:rRNA from 1 species